CCAACGGCUGAGGAGACAUAAGAGACAGGAAAGAGAAGCGUGUCCGCUGACAUAAACUAAUUCCCUGAGGAGCCAUUACUUCCCUCGCACGGGUUAAUCUUAUAAAAAGGCUACACGGAGAAGACAUAAAGGUAAAACGCUGCGAGGAGAGGCGGAGCGUGCGACUGAUGAGCACGCGCGCUGGGUAGGAAGAGCUAGGAGUACACGCUGAAGUAACGUUGCCACAAACCGCGCUCUGCUUUUUUCCUGUAUUUAUUAUUGCCAUUUUAUAUGUGCACAUAUGCCGUGAUUUUAAGUUUCGGAUUAGUGAAGCUCCAGGACAAGGACCAGUUUCUGAAAGUAUGAACUUUUCUGCUGAGGCGCCGCGCUACAGGUUCAGAAGGAGCCCGUGAGCUGAGCUGAAAGUCGUUCUUUGAUUUACUGCCGUGAUGAAGACCAGAGUGUUGGACGCUGUUUAGCUGUUUAUUAGCCUGCUCGGUGUGAGACACGGGACAAAGAGGGGACGCCAGAGAUUCGCUCACCUUUUUGCGCACUUCCAUGAGUCAAGGCGGAGUAAUAAUACUGUUCGUGUAAAUUGUACGUUUCAAAUGUCAAGAUGACCGUGAAACUGGACUUCGAAGAGUGCCUGAAAGACUCCCCCAGGUUCAGGGCCGCCAUUGAGGACGUGGAGGGGGAUGUGAACGAACUGGAGACGCGUCUCGAGAAGUUGGUGAAGCAGUGUAACUCCAUGCUGGAGGCAGGUCGUACAUACUGCCAGCAUAGUAAAAGCUUUGUGAAUGGGCUCAGGGAGCUGGGACACCACUGUUCUGAAGACAAAACUAUGGGGGACUGUUUAGAAAAGUUCUCCAAGAAGUUGUCCAUCAUUCUCAAUGCUCAUGAGGAGCUCAUUGAAGCCACACAGAAGUCGGUGAGAAUGAAGUUGCAGAGUUUUGUGAAGGAUGAUGUGAAGCGCUUUAAAGAUGUACGUAAGGAGUUUGAACGCAGUAGUGAGACUUUGGAGACAGCACUGGGGAGGAAUGCUCAAGCUCCACGGGGUAAACAGCAUGAAGUAGAGGAGGCCAGCCUGGCUCUGUUGAAUGCCCGCAGAAUCUUCAGAUCAGAGGCUCUGGACUAUGUACUGCAGAUCAAUGUUAUUGAGUCCAGGAAGAAGACUGAAAUAUUGAUGGCGAUGCUCUCCCUGAUGGAGGCCCAGGCUCUGUUCUUCCAGCAGGGCCACCAGUCCCUCACAGAACUCGAAGAGUACCGCAGGCAGCUUAGCGACGAGCACACUCAACUAGUUUUGAAUUCUGCCAGAGAGAAAAGAGAUAUGGAACAGAGACAUGCUGCCAUCAAGAAAAAGGACGUAUCUUAUGAUGACUUGAUCAUGGACUUCAGUCCAGAUGCACCCAAUGGCAUCGUCAUGGAGGGCUACCUGUACAAAAGAGCAAGUAACGCCUUCAAAACUUGGAGCAGGCGGUGGUUCUCAAUUCAGAAAAACCAGCUGGUCUACCAAAAGAAAUACAAAGAGCAGCCGACAGUGGUAGUGGAAGACUUGCGGCUCUGCACCGUGAAGCCCUGUGCGGAGCAGGACAGAAGAUUCUGCUUUGAGGUCGUCUCUCCCUCCAAGAGCUGUCUGUUACAAGCAGAUUCAGAGCGACAACAGCAAGGUUGGAUGAGUGCUGUGCAGAACAGCAUUGCCUCAGCAUUUCAAGAGAGGAGAGAGGAUACACUUAGCCCUAGAGAGCGCUGUAGCUCAGUGUCAGCGGGCAGUGUGAACUUGGUUGGUGGGGAGCAGUCGAAUUCAGGCUGUAAAGCACUGGAGGAGGUGCAAGCUAUCCCAGGGAAUGGACACUGCUGUGACUGUGGAGAACCAGCACCAGACUGGGCUUCCAUUAACCUGGGAAUAACACUCUGUAUUACCUGCUCUGGAAUUCACAGGAGUCUGGGUGUCCACUUUUCCAAAGUUCGCUCUCUAACUCUGGACUCCUGGGAGCCAGAACUCAUCAAACUGAUGUGUGAGUUAGGAAACACUGCCAUUAACCGGAUCUAUGAGGCACGCAUUGAUGAGAUCACCAUAAAGAAACCGCAUCCCUCAAGUCCCAGGCAGGAUAAGGAGUCAUGGAUUCGCUCAAAAUACGUGGAGAAGAAAUUUAUUCACAAGCUUCCUGAAACAGGCCGUGCCCCACCCCUGCGUCGCUCCAGUGCGCGCCGUAAUAGAGCAACCACUCAAGAGAAACCGGGCACACGUCCUGUACUCAAACCCAAACCCAGCAGAGCCACCCUGCCACGCCUCACAGGCCUGAACCCAAGUGAAAUAAUGAAGAACAGCUUUGACUCUCACAAAGAUGAUGAAGACGAGGAGGAUUUGAGCGGUCUUCACCCCGGCGCUCUGCUCUAUCGUUCUGCAGCACUUCAGCACUUCCCUGUCAUGGCCGAUGCUCUGGCACAUGGAGCUGACGUCAACUGGGUUAAUGUAGCCGAGGACAGCAGAACACCACUCAUACAGGCCGCUACCGUGAAUUCCCUGGCAGCGUGCGAGUUCCUACUGCAGAAUGGUGCUAAUGUUAACCAGGCAGACUCUAUUGGAAGAGGACCUUUACACCACGCUACUAUACUGGGACAUACAGGGCUGGUGUGUCUGUUUCUGAAGAGAGGAGCGGACUACAAUGCCAAGGAUAUCCACCAAAAAGACCCGAUCACCAUAGCUGUAGAUAGUGCCAACGCUGACAUCGUUACACUCCUUCGAAUAGCCAAGAUGAACAAAGAGAUGCGAGAGAUGGAUGGCUUCGCCCAAUCAGGUCACUCCGAGGGUUGUGUUGGUGGGGGUGGAUCUGGGGAUCUGAUUGGUCAGACCAAGAAAAGCUUUCAGGCGCUUAAGCACCACCUUAGUGGUUGGACCUUGGGGGGACAGAACGAAUAGUUCAGAGUAACAGGCAACUAAGUAGACUUUACUGAAAAUGUGCAAUAUGAUAAAAAAAUAUAUAUAAACCCACAAACACUUCAACAGAGGAAGCUCCAGUGAGUCAGAAUAGGCAUUAUUUGUACUGCCAUUGUUUAAAGUAAUGUAGUGUAAUGUAAAAUAAUGUAAAGUGUAUUGUUAUGUAUAUUUUAAUAUCUUGUACAUAUGUACAUAAGUGAUAUAUGUGGUUAAAUUCUAGUAGAAUAGAGAGAGACUUUUGGGAUCUCUGGUGUCCAAUAGUAUCACAGAUUGAGGGCGGGAAAAAAAAAGUUAAGCUUUUUUUUUUUGGGUUAUCAGUCACUUCACUUAGGUACAUUUUGGCCUUCAUGGGGAGUUUACUUUUACCAGCUGGUUCAGAAUUUUCAAAUUCAAGAGCAUUUGCUCUGUGGUUGUGGAGUAUGUGUAAUAUUUAUAGUAUAAUUAGCGCUUAUUCUGUGUCAGUUUUGCUGACUUUCUGUGCUCUUGUCUUUUGCAUCAGUUGUUCACUGAGGAGCUUCAUUAUGGCAGCUUGUUCCUAUAUCAAUGUCUCUCUGUCUAUGUCGCUGAUUGUGGGUAUAUGUGUGUUUUGUGUGUCCUGAGAUGGACGGCCAAGUGUCCACUGCUUGCAGUGUGUCGUCUGCACUGCGUGUCACAGGUGAUGAGACAUACCAUGAUAUCUUUAGGGAUUUCUCCCAAAUGGCCUCCCACAACCCAGAGAAGCUGAAACGUCGCAGUGCUGACAUUAAAAUCCCAUAACCACCAGAUGGCACUGCUGCCACUGCUACCAUGUUCUGAGCACAUAGACAUGGGCAGAAAAAUUCUUGUUUACUUCAUAAUUGAUCUAUUCAUGCUCCGCCCACAGAUGUGUUCUUUAAUAAAUCCUGUUGUAAAACAAAAAUCCCAUUUUACCUGAUAAAAAGCUGGAGCACUCAACACUGUUUUGUCAAAGAACCUAAAUUAGGAGUUUUUCAUGUGAAAUUUUAUUUAUUUAAUUUUUUUUUACGUGUGGAAAGUAACACGUUUAGGGUAGUUUUUGUGUAAUCAGGCCAAUGUUUGCAUGGUGGCAAAGUUGUUCUUCUGCUACAGCAGCUCUGUAGUGUAACAUUUUGAACUGGAAACUUUAGCAUUGUAGCAGCUGUAAACAUAGUGCGCUUCAGUUUCUCAUCAGGGUCAGUGGGGCUUUUGCCCAUGUUCUGUGAAGCCUGUCUAACCUCACAGCACUCGCUAUGAAAGAACAUAUUUAUAGGUGGAGCACAGAUACGUCAACUGUCUUACUUAUUUUACUGUGUCAUUGCGUGGCUGGCCAUGAUGCCAGAAGAGAAAACGUAAUUGUGAAAUGCAUGCUGCUGUAAAGUCAGCGCGUUGUUAUCAGCUGCAGUUUGUAGUCAGCCUGGAUCUUUGAGCCGGAGUCCCACUAGGGUGUAGUGAUCCGCUGAUUCCAUAGAUACGCAGUAGAGCUGCCAUUAAACUGCAACCGUUUGUCCUGUUGCUCUGCAAACACCAGCAUUCUCUUAACUCACAUUGGUACUGAGGAGGGCUCUGGAUUCAUGAAAUCAAGCCUUUGGUGUCCAGUCAAAUUGAACUGAUCAUGGUUCUAUUUCACAAUCCAAUAUUCUUUUAUUACAGCAAUACCAUGAAUGUGUAUUUUAUGUUUUAACCUCGAGACUGAAUUAAAUUUCAGUGUGAACAAUUUAGUUACGCCAGUGCUUUUAUUUCUCCCUCUGAAACAGUGUUAGUUUAUCUUGUCCAUCUUUAACAGCAGCUGGAUGUUGUUGAAUUCCUGUUUUUUCUGUUCCAUUUUGUGACCAAACUUAGAAUUCUGUGUUUAAAAUUUCUUUUCUUUUUCCUGUUACAUAAACAUUGUGUUUUGUAAGCAUGUCUGUAACAGCCAUAAUCUGUUUAUUGCAAAAUCUCAUAUGUAGGCUUAUUUAGCUAAUAUAAGGGCAAUUUAAUAGUGAUGUUUUUAGUAUACUUGUACUUGGCUUGUCUCAUGAAUUAAUUUAAUGAGCAACAUUUGCUUAAAAAUGUUGAUGGAUUUAGUCAUAGUAUCAGCCCUUGUCCAUCCUCCUGCAGAGUCCAUGGGGUCUUUUUAACCUGUGCUUCAAAUUUAUAGGGUCCUAUAAUAAGUCAUUAUUGUUAAUGUCUUCAUUGGUGUUUCCAUACAGUAAGCAGCAUUGUCAACUCACACAAUAAACACACCUCUUGAUGACAUGCAA